GAAGAAGACUAGCUACAAGGAAAUACUUCUGAAAAAUCAAUGCGAACCACAAGCUGGAGUGAAUCUUCUUCUGAGCUCGCUUAUUCCAGAAUGGCAGUCCUCUUGCAGAAAAGACCUCUACUAGUGACUGAUGGUAGAGGGCCAGGGUUGUGCCUGUCCAAGAAUCAGACUGGCACAGCAAAAUCUUUCUUCAAAUUUUAAGUUGUUGCUACCAGGAAAUAGCUACUUGAACCUCACAGGUCUGUCAGAAGAUGGGUAACUCUGCCCACAGAUGCAGAGAGCAGAGAUACAGACCGAGGAGCAGGUGCUAAAGUAGGUCCUGACCUCUGCCUGGAGAACUGCAGACCUAGGGAGGAUAAUAUCAUCCAGAAUGUGGAAAAGAGGCAUCAGUUAUGCUGGAGGAGUUAGAGACAGUUUGAUGGACAAGCCUUAAGGCGGGAAGGGUUGGGAGGAUGAUUUAUGGCUUGAGUAGUGAAAGGAAUAACAUAGAAAGCAGCAAAACCAAAUUUCAGGACCCAUCAGAUGUAUUUGGAGCCAUAACCCCGUAUCACCUUCAUGGGCUUUAAUUCAUGUACACCUCUGGAACGUUCUCUCUCUAUAUUUGGUUUUUAUUGGUGGUGGUGGUGGUGUAUGAGUAUUUUUACUGAGGGACUAGCUUCAUAUUCAAUUUUCCAAGACCAUCUCUUCAUCCCAUUGCUUUUAGGGUCCAGGUAGAACAAGGAUAGAACAAGAUAUGCUUUUGGGAAGAUAGUGCCCUGGAAUCAGAAGUGUCAGGUCCAGACUGUUAAAACGCUUAGUGUUACUCUCACAGUAUUGCCUUAUGAAAUGAAAAGCAGAUGAGAAAGCAAAUCUGCUGAGAAAGAAGACAUCUUUGAAAGGCAGCUUUUUAGAACUAUUAUGGAGUUACUGAGAAUGAAAAUAAGGACUUGUCUCCAACACACAAAUCUGAAGAUGCUGUCAUGUGGGGGGAGUCUGCAGAAUUACACCACCAGUGCAGUAAGUUAGUAAAAGCUUUAGUCACUGGAAAUCUAUCACAAGGGAAAUGCUGUCAGUAUAAAGAAUGUGAGAAAGCCAUUUUUGACAUUAGAAAAUCUGCAAAAGCGAGAAACUGCAUACAUGUGAUGACUGUAAGGAGGCCUUCAUUCAUCAUGGAAACCUUCUAGAACAUUAUGUGAAGGAAGCAAGAAGGAAGGCCUUCAGCCAGAAGUCAGAACUGACUGCACUAUAGAUUCUACACGGGAGACAGAUCUACUAAAUGUGAUGAAUGUGGAAAUGUUUUCUAUGGAAUCAUAGCAUUAUUCAGCAUUGGGGAGAAGAUCACACUAAAGAAAAACUGAGUGUCAUGGGUUUGGAAAAGUCUUCAGAGGUUGGACCUUAGAAAAUAUCAGGGAGUCCAUAUUAGAGAGGCUCUUAUAAAUGAGAAGAUUGUAGGAAGUUGUAUGGACAGAUAUCAAGCCUCAACAAUAGAGUCUCCAUGAUAUUGGAAAAUUCAUAUAAUUAAUGUAAAUGGGCAAGAUGUAUGGGGAAUGGAUAUUUUAUAUUGCCCAUUGUAGCCACAAAGAACAUUCAGUGAAUUUCUCAAGUCAAGAAAAAGGAAAGUCAUAAGUUCUUUUUGCUUCCAAAAGGAGUCUAUAAACAUGAACGAUCAGGAGUUUUGAAAUGAAGAUGUUUACCUGCAUCCCUGGACUUGUGCUACUGUCUCCAAGAUGACUGUUGGGGACAUGGUAUUUUCCCAUGCCCACUCUAAUCUCACAUCUUAAAUUCAUUCAAGUGUAGAUAAUAUUGUCUACUGCUUGUUGUAAAUUAAUUCUUAUGGGCUAAAUAGGCUUGUAUGAGUACCCCAGGACAUAAAAAUGACAUUUGUAAAGCUUCAGUAAGCAUAAUGAGCCACGUCAUUGAAUUGUUAGUACUUUUUAAAAUUUGGCACUGCUUCUGUGUUCCAACACAAGGCCAAAGAGGUGUCCAUCACAGAGUAUAUAUUUCCCAGCUUUGUUUUUUUUUUUAAGAUAGAAAAUGAUAUUUCACAUAUAGCUUUGACAGAUAAUAGGUUAUUUUCUUUUAUAGAUAACACAAUAUAAUAUCCUGGAGGCUAAUAUUUUGAAGUAAUAUUACUUUCAGUUCUAAAACCUACAGGCUGAAAGAGGAAAGAAUCUAUCUAAGCUGUUCUUCAGCAAUUUGGCAGUAUAGCCCAAUCUCUAUGAGAAUGAAGCUUAUGGAUUUUAUAGUAGGUCAUUAAAUAUAGGAACCACAGAUUUCAAAAGAUUGCAAUGAUUAUUUCACAGUUAGGAGUUUAUAUCUGCUGCAAAUGCCUGAAUUUUCUGAGUAGAUAUUAUAGUCACUAUUUUAAAAGACAGACUGCAUUCUAUUAAAGACUUUUUCAGCAUUAUAGAAACUACAUUUUCCCCUUAAUUUUAUUAUCACCUUGUAUUACAUGAAAGGAUUUCCUAAUAUUGAACCAACCUUGCAUUCCUGAAAUAAAUUUCACUUAGUCAUGGUGUUUUCUUAAUGU
rnacentral:lncRNA from 1 species